GAGCUCAUGGAGGAUGCCACUUUGGCAGAAAUCUAAGAUGUAUUUCUGCGAGAUAAAUCAUCUUGAAGCUGCAGAACAGAAUGUCAUUGGAGAUCAUGCUGGUGGAGAGAUUGAAGUAGAGAAGGUUCCCAUUCAAGAGGUUGAAAUUAGGCGGAAGAAUUUAUUACCUGUUUUUGACCAUUUCCACAGAACUUUCUCUACUUGGAAUCAUAGGGGCC
rnacentral:misc_RNA from 1 species